rnacentral:rRNA from 1 species
AUGCAGAGGUGCCUAGUCAAGCUCUGGGGGAAGUUGCAAGCAAAGGAUGAAGAGAUAAGCAGCCUUAAAAUGGAUAUUGAACAAGUGAACCUUAAGCUAGAGAACCUUGUUGCAGCUGUGGAAAGAAGUAAUGUAACUACCAUGAAGAUUGACAGGCAAAAGAAGCAAAUGGGUAUCGUUGAUAAAGAUGUCAAGCGCAUUCAGAGGUCUCUCACAAGUGCCAUUCAUAAUCUUAAGGACGACAAGGGUGAUAUUAAGCUGGACAAGGAUUUUCUGAAGGAGGAGGUGCAUAAGCUGAAGAAGAAUAGAAGCAAGAUGUGA